rnacentral:rRNA from 1 species
GGGCUCGCAGGCGGUUUCUUAAGUCUGAUGUGAAAGCCCCCGGCUCAACCGGGGAGGGUCAUUGGAAACUGGGGAACUUGAGUGCAGAAGAGGAGAGUGGAAUUCCACGUGUAGCGGUGAAAUGCGUAGAGAUGUGGAGGAACACCAGUGGCGAAGGCGACUCUCUGGUCUGUAACUGACGCUGAGGAGCGAAAGCGUGGGGAGCGAACAGGAUUAGAUACCCUGGUAGUCCACGCCGUAAACGAUGAGUGCUAAGUGUUAGGGGGUUUCCGCCCCUUAGUGCUGCAGCUAACGCAUUAAGCACUCCGCCUGGGGAGUACGGUCGCAAGACUGAAACUCAAAGGAAUUGACGGGGGCCCGCACAAGCGGUGGAGCAUGUGGUUUAAUUCGAAGCAACGCGAAGAACCUUACCAGGUCUUGACAUCCUCUGACACUCCUAGAGAUAGGACGUCCCCUUCGGGGGCAGAGUGACAGGUGGUGCAUGGUUGUCGUCAGCUCGUGUCGUGAGAUGUUGGGUUAAGUCCCGCAACGAGCGCAACCCUUGAUCU